rnacentral:rRNA from 1 species
CAGCAGCCGCGGGAAUACGUAGGGAGCGAGCGUUGUCCGGAAUCAUUGGGCGUAAAGAGCUCGUAGGCGGCUUGGUAAGUCGGAUGUGAAAGCUCCAGGCUCAACCUGGAGUCGCCAUCCGAUACUGCCAUAGCUAGAGUCCGGUAGGGGCCCACGGAACUCCUGGUGUAGCGGUGAAAUGCGCAGAUAUCAGGAAGAACACCGGUGGCGAAGGCGGUGGGCUGGGCCGGCACUGACGCUGAGGAGCGAAAGCGUGGGGAGCGAACAGGAUUAGAUACCCGUGUAGUCCCUGUCUCUUAUU